UAUAACAGAAAUGUUAUAUAAAUGUUAUAUAAACAUUUCUGUUAUAUAAAUGUAUAUAACAGAUGAGGAGUUCAGAGAAAAUAGAAGAAAUAAUGCAAGAAAACUUUUCUAAACUGAAAGAUAUGAAUAUAAACACUGAACAAAAUUUCCAAAUACUCACGAAAGCAAUACUACUACUAAUAAAAGCCAUACCAAGGCACAUUUGCAUAAAAUAUCAAUACAAUUAGGAAAAAGAGAAGAUUCUGAAAGCUUCCAGAGAUGAUGAUGAUGAUAACAGUAAUAAUAGUAUUCACAUACAAAGGAUCAGGAAUCAAAGGGACAUUUUUCAAUAGUGACACUUGGGACUAGACAACGAUGAAGCAAUGCCUUCUAAAUUGUGAAAGAAAACGAUCAUGAACCUGGAUUUUUAUACCCAGGCAAACUAUCAAUCAAGUAUGAGAGCAAAAUACAGAGCUUACCAGAUGGUCUAAAAAAAUGUCUUCUACAUGUCUUUUCUCAGGGACAUUCUGUAGGAUAUGCUCCUUGAAAAUCAGUGAGUCACAGAAGAAAAAGUAAAAUGAGAUCCCAAUUUAAAAAAGAGGAAAUUCCUAUAAUUACCACUUUGUAGCAGACAAAAAGGGCAACCAGUAUAAACUGGAACUGGAGGAUGAAGAACCUUAGGGGAGAAGUUUCCCAGAAAAUAAUAAAAGGGAAACUGUACAGAAAAGCCUUUUACAGAGUUGGACAAUGUGGUCAGAUCAAGCCAGAGAUUUAAAGAAAGCCAAGUAAGAGAAAUAAAUAAAAAUUAACUCAAUGGAAAACAAAAGUUUAUAUUUAGGAAAGGAUAUAUAAGUAUAGGAUACUUUCUGACUCACACAUGAGCAGUGCUGUUGUUCUCUAUCAUGAUACUCUUAUUUGGUUUGAAAUGGUCUUUCUGUAUUCAGUGUGAAAGAUAAAAUGCACAUGACAAUUAGGUGAUUAUUUUAUUCAGGCUGUUGCAACAGGGAGAACAUUCCUCAAUGAGGAACUUGUCAAAGAAAAGGAAGGGGAGCCUUGAGCUUUACAGAGGCAGAAAAGAGUCAUCAGCAAGUCUUAUCAGAAUCAUGAAGAAUGGAGAUGAGUCUUGGCUAACUCACCGAGGAAAGGUGGAGGCAGAACUUAUCUCCAAACGCAGGACGGCAAAAAGAUCCUUUGCAGGACAUGCAUGACUCAAGUCCGUCAAAGGAAUUCCCUAGUGGCCCAGACAGAGACUUAUCCAAAGAGAAAUCUGGCCCCUGCAUGAUCUGCUGUGAUGGUGAGUCAAUCAAGGUUAAUAGCAAGCCAUUUUCUUUAGACAGGGGAUGGAGAGUGGGAAGUGGGGGCAGGGUGUGGAGAAUGGAGGAAUGGCCAAUUGCAAGGCAAACCAGAGUCCUCAUAAUCAUCUGGGCAGUUGAGUUUUAGUUCUUAGUGGUGCUGAGUCAGGCAGGAGAGAAAAAAAUUGGAAAAGUUAGUGGAAAGGGUUAUAGCCAGAUAGUGAAGGAAACUAAAAGAAUUAAAAAGUUGGUGUGGAUUGACAUUUUGAGCAAGUAACAGGCUCCAGUAUAAUUUGCAGAUAACAAAACUGAUUUUUCCAGAGUGGGAGGAAGUCAAUUAAGUAGCCAUUAGACAAGCCAGUAUGCAUGUCCAUCAGUUACCUACAAUAUACAAUUGUGCAAAUAUGUGCAACAUGCUUCAAAGACCGUGAACAAGUCUAGAAUUUGAUAACAUGGAAUGGUAUGCUAUAGACAAUGCGUAGUUUUCCAAAACACAAAAUUUCUCUCAUCUCUCUAAAGUCAUACCCUCAAAGAUGUUAAUGGAAAAAACAAGCAGUUUAAAGAAAUUUAUCCUGGACCAAUAUGAACAACCACAGUCCAAGGAAAUACAGUCUCAAGAUUCCUGAGACUGGGUACCUGAGGUGGUCAGAUUACAAUUUGGUUUUAUACAUUUCAGGAAGGCAAGAAUUGCAGACAAAGCCAUAAAACACAUGGAGGGCAUACAUUGGUUUGGCCUGAAAAAGUAUAUCUUGAAGUGGGGACAUACGAGUCAUAGAUGGAUUCAGAGAUUCUUUAAUCUGCAGUUGGUUAAAGAAAUGAAAUGUCUAAAAACUUGAAGUUAGCAGAAAGACCUGUUUAAGUUAAAUUAAGGAUGUAUGUCAGAAUCAGUCACAAUAUGACCUAUUUAGCAAGACUGACGGCUACAGAUGUGCAUUAACUCCUGCCUGGCAUGGCCUUAGGACUUGUUUAUAAUUUGGUACUUUAUUGCAACUAAGAGUCUGUUUUGUCUUGGACAAUGUGGUCAGAUCAAGCCAGAGAUUUAAAGAAAGCCAAGUAAGAGAAAUAAAUAAAAAUUAACUCAAAGGAAAAAAAAAGUUUAUAUUUAGGAAAGGAUAUACAAGCAUAGGAUACUUUCUGACUCACACAUGAGCAGUGCUGUUGUUCUUUAUCAUGAUACUCUUAGUUGGUUUGAAACGGUCUUUCUGGCAUAAAAUUAAGGCAUAAAAUUCUUAAUUGAUUUGGACUCAGACAGAUAAACAAACAAAUGCCUUGAAUUCGUCUCUCCCUGUAACAUGAGUUGUUUAAAAACAAAAAACACAACUAUGUGACAAAGGCUGUGUAUGGCCUACGAAUUCCAACACAUUACUACCUGGCCCUUUAUUUAAACAUUAGUACUGGUCAGUCGUUGAGCCUACAUGCCAAAAGGUGGGGGUAUAUUGAGGUGUGUUCAACCUCCCUUCCCAUCAUGGCAGGAACUCAGUUUUUCAGAUUUCUUUCCAGUCUUCUUGGUCAAGAGAGUCUGUUUGGUAGGUGGGCAGCUUAAAAUUUUAUUUUUAGUUGAUAAUAAUCUCAAAGAAACAUUAUUUUUGAUAAUAAACUAAGGCUAGUCUCCUUAGAUUUGACCUGAUUACUUACAUUGGUGUAGCAAGAAUAAUAAUUUACCGUGUAGGCCUUCUUAAGUUUAUUUGAUGAAUGUUUUCAGAAGGAAUUUCAGAUUAGUCUUUUAAAAGCCUCCUGAGGAUAGGAAGCCAAGCCAAGAAUUUGCUAUUAUAUUUUACCUGUAGUUCUUGUAAAUCCUCCAUUCUGGAGGUCCACAAAAUAAACUACAGUUCCUGGAUCUGCCAAGAAGUGACCUUCAUUAUUACCUGUAAGACUGAGAACUUAUAAACCAGAUACCAAGCCAGUCCCGAAAGGGCUUUGCAAAGCAUUGCCUCCAUAAAAUCAACCUUUGUUUCUUAAAAGUGUUUGUUCAUAUUUGAUUAAAAGAAUAUCAUUUUCCAACAUGACAUUCCAGACAAAGCCUUGGUUGCACAAUGUUUCUCAUUUUGUACUGAUAACAAGUAGGACAGAUUCUUAAUUAAUCUAUGGAAAUAACUACAUUGAGAUGAAAAUAAGAGUAUUAAAUAAGAGGUUCCAAAUUCUGGAGGGGUUAGUCAGGUGGAAUAAGAUAUAUUAUCAUCUACAAAUGUUUCAUUUCAGUUUACAAAAGCUGAGUCUACUCGAUUGUUGAGUUCGAGGUAGCUUAUAAGGAAAGCAAAGGAGCUUCUUUGUAUAUCCAGAAAAUAGAACAUUAAAAUAGCAACAAUAUUCCAGGAAAAACCCCACAGCUAUCUCUGAUCAGGUCAUUCAGUCCUAUGUAACUAACUCUUGUUUCACUUGAUCUUGGGUUAGCGGUCUCAUGAGCCCAUCUGUUUCUGAACUAUGUUCUGGAAAUCCUGAUUCAUUCCAUGGAUAUGGUCUCAAAGUUGCGUAAGUGAUGCCAGAAGUCUGUGCUUUGGAGUACAUGGUAUAGUCCUUUUCACAGGCUCUGAGAUGAUUCUUCUUUGUUGAAGAUGAAGCAACAUUAUCAAACCACAGCUGACUUGGACCAGGACACAUAAAAGUCUCUUUCUGGCCUCUAGCUGGUUGCACUUUCAAGGAAGCAUCAGAGUGAAACAGAAAACCACCUGUAGAUGACAAGGGACUUAAAACUGCUGUGGUUAGCUUCACACUUGUAAGUUCCAAAAGUGAAAGAUCUGAUGAGAGUUCAUUACAAGAAUAAUGCAAGUGCAAAAAAUAUUUUUGAUUGUUUCUGUGGCAUGCAAAAUAAGAGAAUAAUUACAAUUUAAAAUAAGAUAGAUAAAAUAUUCAUAAACAUAAUAGACCUAUUUUAAAGAAUAGUAUACCUCAUUAAUAAAAACAGAUGAUCAUAAUCAUUUUAGAGAAAAAAAUAUUGAGAUAUAUAAUAAUCCUGACAUAAUAGGCCAUGAAUAUGCAAAGACUAUAGUAAGAAUACAUCAAGAAUAUAUAUCAAGUAAAGAGAUUCACUAAAUCUGAGUAGGUCUUAAAUAUCUUUAUAUGUUAGUAAAAUACUACAGGUAAGUAAUAUAAAAAUCUCUAAUUGAAAACCAUGGGCUUUGAAGAUGCUAGAUUCAAAUUAAAGAAGUAAAGUUGUGACAAGUCACAUGUUAAAAAAUAACUGAAAUUAUGAUUGAUAACACUAGACUGUUGUUGUCUAAUAAUAGGCAAAGCAGUGCCAAGAUUUGAAUAAACAGAAACGUAUCAUCAAUGGUGAGGGCACUGGCAAUUCUUUAAGAACUUCCCAAACAGCAUAUAAUUACUGAAAUCCUUAUAUUAAUAAACAUUUACUCAUACAAAUUUAACCUAGGGAAGGCUGAGCAUCUCUUCACAUUUAACAUCUCUUCCCAUGCAACUCAUUAAUAGUAAUAUUCAAAUAAAUCUAAUUAUUUCUAGUACCUCUCUUUUCACAUGACGAGCAAACAAAUCCUUUGUGAUUUAUCUGGGGAAUCUCAAAGAUAGUUUUAAGAUGCAAGAGAUAUGAUUUAGGUUGUGAUUUUGGAAAGGAAACAUAUAAAAAAUUUUCAGAAGAUUUGAAUGCUUCAUUAAGAUGAGAUCAUGGGAUCGUUAGCUAUGUAUGAUCAUGGGAUACCUGCCUAUUAAACCUUAACUACCUAUUAAACCAAAGUGACAAUAAAAAUUAUAAAAGUAAACAUAAGAACUCUAAUGGUUAAUUGUAUGUGUCAGCUGGACUAGCUAAGAGAUUCAUAGAUAGCUGGGAAAACAUUAUGUCUAGGUGUGUUUUUAAGGGUAUUUCUGGGAGAGAUCAGUAUUUGAAUUGGUAGAUGAAGCAAAGAUCGCCCUCACCGAUGUAGAUGGGCACCACACAAUUUGUUGAGGGUUUGAACAGAAUGAAAAGGUAGACGAAGGAUAAAUCUGCUGUCUGCUUGAGCUGGAACAUUCAUCUUCUCCUGCCCUAGGAUACUGGAGCUUCUGGUUCUCUGGCCUUUGGACUUAAACUGGGACUGGGACUUACACCAUUGGCUUCCCUGGUUCUUGAGUCUUGGAGCUAAGGCUGGAAUUGUUAAGUGGUAACUGGGCUUUCCUGGGCCUCCAGCUUGCAGACAGCAUAUUGUGGAGUUCUCAACCUCUAUAAUUAUGUGAGUCAGUCCCUAUAAUAAACCUCUUUCUAGAUAUCUCUAUAUAUCCUUUUAAUUCUGUUUAUCUGAAGAUCUAUCACUGAUACAGGAGGUAUCAUUAUUGGAAAGAAUCUGAGCUUUUGUCUAUAUGAGAAAUCUUUGUUUUCAUAAAUAAUCAAGGAAAAACAGUAAACAUAAACCAUGGAAGUUAUUCUGUAAGACAUAAAAUCCUUGUCAUCCAGGCAGAUUGCACAGAAAGUAAAGAAUAAACUUUUAUAACUGCCUAUCAAGACCUAACCAAUAAUCCAAGAUAAUCUCAGUCUUUUAACAGGGAGAAAACUGAAUUCCAGUUUUGCAUCAGUAUAAUAUUGGAUACUAAAGCUUUUUUUAGAAAAUCCUAUAAAUAACUCAUCAAACCAUAGCUAGCAGUGAUCAGGAUAAAUAAAAUUCACUUUUCUUGAGCUUUCUAUAUCAUUCUAUAUCUAUACAUGUUUUUUAUAAUACAAGUUUUCAAAGUGGCAAAAAUGAACAUAUUCAUUAACAAACUCCAAAUACAGAGCUUCUCUAUAUGCUAUAAAAAUAAAUAACAAAAAGUGUAUAAACUUAAAAUUACACUUGAUAAUUAAUGUUUCAGUUUUUCAUCUUACUUAGAGAUCACCUAAGUAUCUAAUGAAUGUCCAUUAAUGUACUCAUUUUGUAUCAGUCCAAAAUUUUAAAUUACCAAAAGAUCUUGGAAACUAUCAUCAAGCCGACAUAUUACAAAAUAUAACUACUAUUGAAAUAAAGUUUGUUAGAAUAAAUAUUUAAUUUGGUUAAACACAGAUUGGCAUCUUUCAUAGCCUUAAACAUUUAGUAGAAGUAAUGUUAGUUUAUUUAAUCAUUACACCUGUAUAAGUUUAGGAAGAACAUAUCCAAGUAGAAUAAAUAUGUCAUUUAACUCAGAGAAGACAUAACUAUUUUUAUUAAACCAACAACAUUAAAUUAGUCUCAUUUGUAAAAUAUUUAUCCAAAUUAUGUGAACUUGAAUUCCUAAAACAUUUGGGUUAGUUUCAUUAAGAAUGUCCCCUUUUUGGCACACGGAAAUGAUUGGAACUUUAAUUUCCAACAUUUCUGGGAAUUUUAGGAAUAUUCAGUUAUAAAACACUUAUCUCUGUAAGUCAAUCAGAAUAGAGCUCUUUUAAUUUAAGAUAUUUUAUAAUCUAAUUUAACAUCACUUGGAGGUAGGAAAAUAUAUACUCACACAAUGAUAUUUAAAGGCUUUUUUGAAUUACAGGUCUAAACAUUCAUGUGGUUGAGAAAGAGCUUAUUAUAGCUUAAAUGUCAUGAUUUCAGCCAUGGAUCAAACAUAAAUUAAGAAAUAGAAAACUUACCAGUCCAGAUACCUACUUUUCAGUAGGCAUAAAAUUCUUAAUUGAUUUGGACUCAGACAGGUAAACAAACAAAUGCCUUGAACUCGUCUCUCCCUUUAACAUGAGUUGUUUAAAAACAAAAAACACAACUAUGUGACAAAGGCUGUGUAUGGCCUACGAAUUCCAACACAUUACUACCUGGCCCUUUAUAGAAAAUCAUUGCCACCCUGCAACUCAAAGACCUCUACAUGUUCUCACGAGAAUUUGAAUUCAUUUCUUACAAAUGUACAGACUAGAAAAGGUGUAUAGUUUUUGAAUCCUAAACAGGCCUUGCAGACCACUAGUUCCAGAAAUUAAGAUGUUUCAUUUACAAGAGCAUAGUCAAAACAAACAAACAAACAAAAAACAAAAUAAAACGAAA